AUGGCAGGCUUACACAUUCUUGGCCGCAGCCCUGACAGCACGCAGCACUUUACAAGAACAGCGCUCAACUUCCUCUCUUUCCAUCCAUUUCUACACACAUCUCUCUCUGCAUCCUCAACUUCCUCUCUUUCCAUCCAUUUCUACACACAUCUCUCUCCAUCUCGCUCUUUUGGAUUCUUUUUCCUGACCCACUCAUCCAUAUGCUCUUCCUCUCGGCUCUACCUUCUUUCUGUAUCGACCUCAAUUCGUUUGUUUCCAUCCUCAUUCUCGGUCCACACCAGCCCUCCUUCAGCUUUCCCCCCUAUCUCUUCAUCUUCCUCUCCCUCUUUCCAUCCUACUUCCUUUUACUCCCACUCAGUAAGAAGAGAGGGUGUAGAGGGUCUGCUUCCCUCCCUUCAUAUUUAUCUAGCCCUCUCUCCCUCCACACUCUUCCCAUCCAUCUCCACCUCUCUAUGUCACUGUCUUUCCAUUCAUCUCCACCUCUCUAUGUCACUGUCUUCCCAUUCAUCUCCACCUCUCUAUGUCACUGUCUUCCCAUCCAUCUCCACCUCUCUAUGUCACUGUCUUCCCAUCCAUCUCCACCUCUCUAUGUCACUGUCUUUCCAUUCAUCUCCACCUCUCUAUGUCACUGUCUUCCCAUCCAUCUCCACCUCUCUAUGUCACUGUCUUCCCAUCCAUCUCCACCUCUCUAUGUCACUGUCUUCCCAUCCAUCUCCACCUCUCUAUGUCACUGUCUUUCCAUUCAUCUCCACCUCUCUAUGUCACUGUCUUUCCAUCCAUCUCCACCUCUCUAUGUCACUGUCUUUCCAUCCAUCUCCACCUCUCUAUGUCACUGUCUUUCCAUCCAUCUCCACCUCUCUAUGUCACUGUCUUUCCAUUCAUCUCCACCUCUCUAUGUCACUGUCUUCCCAUCCAUCUCCACCUCUCUAUGUCACUGUCUUUCCAUUCAUCUACACCUCUCUAUGUCACUGUCUUCCCAUCCAUCUCCACCUCUCUAUGUCACUGUCUUCCCAUCCAUCUCCACCUCUCUAUGUCACUGUCUUCCCAUUCAUCUCCACCUCUCUAUGUCACUGUCUUUCCAUUCAUCUCCACCUCUCUAUGUCACUGUCUUCCCAUCCAUCUCCACCUCUCUAUGUCACUGUCUUCCCAUCCAUCUCCACCUCUCUAUGUCACUGUCUUUCCAUCCAUCUCCACCUCUCUAUGUCACUGUCUUUCCAUCCAUCUCCACCUCUGUAUGUCACUGUCUUUCCAUUAAUCUCCACCUCUCUAUGUCACUGUCUUUCCAUUCAUAUCCACCUCUCUAUGUCACUGUCUUUCCAUUCAUCUCCACCUCUCUAUGUCACUGUCUUUCCAUCCAUCCUGCUUCCCUUAUUUCCUCUUUCCCUCUCUUAUAACUCUUUCUAUUUUUGCCCCACAAUCUCUGUCUGUUUUCAAAUACGCUCCAUCUCUCCCUCACAGUCCGUCCUCUUCACCUCCAUCUCCCUACAUCAGCCCUUCUCUAAUCUAAUGUAA
rnacentral:lncRNA from 1 species